rnacentral:rRNA from 1 species
AUUGAACGCUGGCGGCAGGCUUAACACAUGCAAGUCGAACGGAGUGGCGGACGGGUGAGUAAUGCAUGAGCAUCUAGCUUAUGGAGGGGGCUAACUACGGGAAACUGACGCUAAUACCGCGUACCAUCGGAUGAGUCCAAGUGGGAUUAGGUAGUUGGGGAGGUAAAGGCUCACCAAGCCGACGAUCUCUAGCUGGUCUGAGAGGAUGACCAGCCACACUGGGACUGAGACACGGCCCAGACUCCUACGGGAGGCAGCAGUGGGGAAUAUUGGACAAUGGGCGAAAGCCUGAUCCAGCCAUGCCGCGUGUGUGAAGAAGGUCUUCGGAUUGUAAAGCACUUUAAGUUGGGAGGCGUUACCAACAGAAUAAGCACCGGCUAACUUCGUGCCAGCAGCCGCGGUAAUUC